CUGCCAGUAAGAUAAAAUCUGCUUAACUUUUUAAGUGUUCUGCAGAUCUUUAAAACAAUGCUGGCAAUAAUAAAGCCAGGGUACGAGCCUUGAAGACUUCGUAGUCAUUAAGGUCCCAAUAAAUGGCUACAUUG